UACGGGGGGGGGCAAGCGUUGUUCGGAAUUACUGGGCGUAAAGGGCUCGUAGGCGGCCAACUAAGUCAGACGUGAAAUCCCUCGGCUUAACCGGGGAACUGCGUCUGAUACUGGAUGGCUAGAGUUUGGGAGAGGGAUGCGGAAUUCCAGGUGUAGCGGUGAAAUGCGUAGAUAUCUGGAGGAACACCGGUGGCGAAGGCGGC
rnacentral:rRNA from 1 species